rnacentral:misc_RNA from 1 species
AGACCAGCUUGCGCACCAGCGCUUGCAGGAUAAGGGAGUCGAUUUCACCGUGUCCAAGAGCCGUGAAUCUUCCGACCAUUUCGAUCUCCAAGGUUAGCCUGCGGCUCCGAUCUCGGCGUUUGGUGCGGCAGUGCGCCUAAAGCGAACGCUCCUGAAUAUCCUUUUGCAAUUGCGCGAGCGCGUGGCGCAGCCCAUGGAUCUGGUCCAUGAGAUGAAGGAUGACGUCGAUCCCCUCAUCAUUAGCACCCAGAUCGCUCUUUAGAUCAUGAAUGAGACGGGCCCGUGCAACAUCGAUGUCAGAGAACUGAAUUCCGACGGAGGUUUCCUCUGGAAUCAGCCAUCG